CUACGGGGGGCAGCAGUGAGGAAUAUUGCACAAUGGGGGGAACCCUGAUGCAGCAACGCCGCGUGGAGGAUGACGCAUUUCGGUGUGUAAACUCCUUUUAUAUGUCAAGAAAAUGACGGUAGCAUAUGAAUAAGCACCGGCUAACUCCGUGCCAGCAGCCGCGGUAAUACGGAGGGUGCAAGCGUUACUCGGAAUCACUGGGCGUAAAGGACGCGUAGGCGGGUUGGAAAGUCAGGUGUGAAAUCCUACAGCUUAACUGUAGAACUGCACUUGAAGCUUCUAAUCUAGAGUAUGGGAGGGGGAGAUGGAAUUAGUGGUGUAGGGGUAAAAUCCGUAGAUAUCACUAGGAAUACCUAAGGCGAAGGCGAUCUCCUGGAACAUUACUGACGCUAAGGCGUGAAAGCGUGGGGAGCAAACACGAUUAGAUACCCCCGUAGUC
rnacentral:rRNA from 1 species